rnacentral:ribozyme from 1 species
ACACGUUGCGGCGUGUAUAAAUAGCCAGUCAAGCCGCAAGCGUCCCGGCUCUGCCGGGGGUCUGG